rnacentral:lncRNA from 1 species
UUAAAGGAAAUGCUAAACGUCAGUAAGAGGUUAGUGAAAAUAAAGAUGCAAUUGUUUUCUUAAGUUUGGACUCUUAAAUUCACAGAUAUCCUGGAUUCCUGUAGAGGUGAGCCUAGCUUUCUUCCCACAGGAUUUCUUAGAGAAACAUUUAUAUGGUUGUCCUUAGUGGUUUGCAUUUCUUCUUGUGAUUUGUUUGUUUUUUAGUACUUAAGAGUGAACCUAGGGGCACACUAUACUGAGCUGCAUCCCUAACCCUCUUUUGUUUUUUUAUUUUGAGACAGGGUCUUAUUAAAUCACCCAGAUUGGCUUCUAAUUUGCCAUCCUCCUGCCUCAGCCUCCUCAAUAGCUGGGAUCACAGGCGUCUGCUACUGGGCCUGGCUCUUAGUUCUUUGAAUUUCCCAGUUACUUUGAUUUAUCUUGCUCAUUCUCUGCUGUCUCAAACUUCCUUCCUUGAUCUUAGUAGCCCCUUUCCUUGACUUUUAAAACAGUCAUUUACUUUUCUUGGUUGUAUCAACUCAAAAAAAAAUUGAAGAAACACCUUUAAAAUACCUGCAGAUAUGGGUGCCAGUGAGGUGGAGUCCAUAUGCACGUUAGAUAAUCUCUAUGUGACAAGGUGCCAGGUUGAAUCUGUGCACAUCUCACUCACCCUCCUGGGCUCCUCAGCUCUGCAUUGUGCUUUGUCAUUGCAGAGGGUUGGACUCUGGUACCCCUCCCCUGUGAAACCAGGAAAUGGCCCAAUAUUUUUGCCAGUGUAGCCCCUAAAAGAAUUUUGAAGAAGUAUGUGUCUCUUUAUACAUUUUAGGUAAAUAGCUUAAUUUUUUCUUGUGUGUUUGAAUUAUUUCAAAAGAUGUCUUUUCCCACAUGUUAUAUAUUGCUUCCCACCUUUAAAUGCAAAUUUUGGUAAAAACUUAGACCCUCAUUAUGGAGAACAAUAUGGAGUUUCCUCAAAAAUCUAAAAAUAGAUCUACUGUGUGAUCCAGCCAUCUCACUGCUGGGUAUAUAUCCAAGGGAAAUGAAAUCAGCAUAUCAAAAAGAUACUUCCAUGCCUAUUUUUAUUGCAGCAUUAUUCACAAUAACUAAGAUAUGGAAAUCCUAGUUGCCCAUCAACAAAUGAAUGAAUAAAGACAAUGUGGAAUAUAUACACAACGGAAUAUUAUUUACCUAUAAAAAGGGAAUUUCUGUUAUUUGCAGAAAAAUGGGUGGAACCAAAGGACAUUAUGAUAAGUAAGAUAAGACAGACACUCAAAGACAAGUACUGCAAGUUCUUGAUCAUAUAUAGAUCCUUUUUAAAAAAAGAGAUCCAAAUGCAGAAUAACGAUUACAAGAUAUUAGAAAGGGUGUGGGGGAAGGGGAGAAUAGAUAAAGUGAGACUGGAUAUGAUUAGUGCAUAUUGUAUGUUUAUGUGUUGAAUGCCAC